rnacentral:rRNA from 1 species
UGGUGGGUAGUUUGACUGGGGCGGUCUCCUCCUAAAGAGUAACGGAGGAGCACGAAGGUUGGCUAAUCCUGGUCGGACAUCAGGAGGUUAGUGCAAUGGCAUAAGCCAGCUUGACUGCGAGCGUGACGGCGCGAGCAGGUGCGAAAGCAGGUCAUAGUGAUCCGGUGGUUCUGAAUGGAAGGGCCAUCGCUCAACGGAUAAAAGGUACUCCGGGGAUAACAGGCUGAUACCGCCCAAGAGUUCAUAUCGACGGCGGUGUUUGGCACCUCGAUGUCGGCUCAUCACAUCCUGGGGCUGAAGUAGGUCCCAAGGGUAUGGCUGUUCGCCAUUUAAAGUGGUACGCGAGCUGGGUUUAGAACGUCGUGAGACAGUUCGGUCCCUAUCUGCCGUGGGCGCUGGAGAACUGAGGGGGGCUGCUCCUAGUACGAGAGGACCGGAGUGGACGCAUCACUGGUGUUCGGGUUGUCAUGCCAAUGGCACUGCCCGGUAGCUAAAUGCGGAAGAGAUAAGUGCUGAAAGCAUCUAAGCACGAAACUUGCCCCGAGAUGAGUUCUCCCUGACUCCUUGAGAGUCCUGAAGGAACGUUGAAGACGACGACGUUGAUAGGCCGGGUGUGUAAGCGCAGCGAUGCG